rnacentral:rRNA from 1 species
CCUACGGGGGGCUGCAGUAAGGAAUAUUGGGCAAUGGAGGCAACUCUGACCCAGCCAUGCCGCGUGAAGGAUGACGGCCCUAUGGGUUGUAAACUUCUUUUAUACGGGAAUAAACCCGGGUACGUGUACCCGGCUGAAUGUACCGUAAGAAUAAGGAUCGGCUAACUCCGUGCCAGCAGCCGCGGUAAUACGGAGGAUCCAAGCGUUAUCCGGUUUAAUUGGGGUUAAGGGGUGCUUAGGCGGCAUUGGAGAAAUCCUACAGCUUAACUGCAGAACUGCCGUUGAUACUGCAAGUCUUGAGUACAUUUGAUGUGGGCGGAAUGUGUCAUGUAGCGGUGAAAUGCUUAGAUAUGACACGGAACACCAAUUGCGAAGGCAGCUCACAAAACUGUAACUGACGCUGAGGCACGACAGCGUGGGGAUCAAACAGGAUUAGAUACCCGAGUAGUC